AGUGAACGCUGGCGGUAGGCCUAACACAUACAAGUCGAACGGCAGCACAGUAAGAGCUUGCUCUUACGGGUGGCGAGUGGCGGACGGGUGAGGAAUACAUCGGAAUCUACUUUUUCGUGGGGGAUAACGUAGGGAAACUUACGCUAAUACCGCAUACGACCUACGGGUUAAAGCAGUGGAGCUUCGGACCUUUCGCGAUUGAAUGAGCCGAUGUCGGAUUAGCUAGUUGGCGGGGUAAAGGCCCACCAAGGCGACGAUCCGUAGCUGGUCUGAGAGGAUGAUCAGCCACACUGGAACUGAGACACGGUCCAGACUCCUACGGGAGGCAGCAGUGGGGAAUAUUGGACAAUGGGCGCAAGCCUGAUCCAGCCAUACCGCGUGGGUGAAGAAGGCCUUCGGGUUGUAAAGCCCUUUUGUUGGGAAAGAAAAGCAGCAGGUUAAUACCCCGCUGUUCUGACGGUACCCAAAGAAUAAGCACCGGCUAACUUCGUG
rnacentral:rRNA from 1 species